CAAGACGAUUGGCUAAUUGGUUAUCAUUAAUGAACAGCAACCACCAAAUGUUCUUUAUUCCUUGGAAUAUCGGGAUGCAUUGGACGCUAGUGGUGGUUGCGCCAAAGAAAAUUAUCCAUUUAAACCCUCUAAAAGGCCGCCCAAUUCUUGAAGAAAUAGAACAAAUGAUCGGAAGGUAAUUAUUUAAUGACUUCUUAUGUAACGAAUUUAAAUUAACUAACGAAUUGAAAUGCUAAUAUAAUUUUUCCAAACAGGGCAUUCAUGUAUAUAGGGGACGCACAUCAGUAUCUUGGCCCGUGGCAAGGAAUUUCACAAGCAAACUGUCCAAGACAACCUACAAGCCAAGAAUGCGGUUUUUAUGUUUUGAAAUAUAUCACUGACAUCGUCGCACGUGCCAACCCCAACCGUUACAUAGAAGAUCAAAAAGCUUUUGGGGGUAAGAAGCAAUACGAUCCAAAAACAGAAAUUUUACCACUACAGCGAAAGUGGAUCGAACAAUUGAUGGCGGUGAUUCACGGUGACGAUUGAGGUUCAAAGGUCGAAGAAUUUUUCUUCAUUAUGUAAUUUUUAUAGAUUAACUUGUAAUUAGAUUUAUUAACUUAUUAAUAUUUUUAACUAAUUUUACAUGUUUGUGUAAUAUUUAAUUAUUUUUAUGAAAUCAAAUUAUGUUUUUACCCAAAUUUAAUUACUAUUUAAUUUAAAAUGUAAUUAAUAUAUAAUUAAAUUAAAUAAAUAUGUAAUUUAAAAUUUAAAUAAAUAUGUAAUUUAAAUUAAAUAAAAUAAUAUAUAAAUUAAUAAAUAUAAAAUUCAAAUAAUAUAAUUAAAUUAAAAAAAAAUGAAAAAAACUAAAAUCUGAGGAGUUUUGGCGUCGGUUCCUACGCCACAUAUGGCGUCGGUUAUUGGCUAGGAACCGACGCCAUAUAUACCCCUAUGGCGUCGGUUCCUAGCUAAUAACCGACGCCAUAGGGGUAUAUAUGGCGUCGGUUCAAAUAAACCCUUUAGCGUCGCCCUGAUAGGCGUCGGUAGCGAAUUUCGCGAAAACCGACGCCUAAAGGGCUUAAAAACCGCCUCUAAAGGGUG